UGUUUUAUUAUGUCAGACAACAAACAGAUGCAUUACAGCCGCACAAACGUUGAACACGAUUUUAUAAAUAUUGCUAUGGAGACGAACUAUAACUACAUAGAUAACAUAACACUCUAUAACUGUAUAACUGCGGCGUUAACACACUUAACUACUAUGUCCUUGAAGUGCUUGUAUGACUGGCUGUCUCAUGAUGACCCUGCACGGUCCCAGAAGGAGGGGAGAUGGAGGCAGGGGGCAGGUGCUAAAAAACUGCUCCCACCUUUCCUCUCCGUGCGUCCUAAGGAGUCUUUACUGUGAUGAAACAGUUCACACUGCUCCAUCAUCAGCGGGUCCAGGCCCUCCUGCCCUGAAGAUGGAGAAGAAAAUCUUUAGAAAGAUUUGUCGAUUUGAGAUUCAGCUCUGCCCUCUGGUGGACACCACACUGCUAGAGGACUGGGAUUACCCGCCCUACACACAAACACACACACAAAACCAUAGUGAGAAAGAGGGAGAGCAGGUUGUUGGUGAGCUUUAGGCUGUCGAAGGACACAGUCUGCUUCAUCCACUGGGCUCCACGGGCAGGGAUAAAAUCCAUGAGAAGAACAUAUUCGGCAGAGGGAUCCAUCCCAGAGAUCCGUACCUGGAAUGUCGGAAACAUCCGCCUGCAAGUUAACAAACAGAUUCUAGUGAGAGCUGGUCAAACUGCUGCCAAAGUGCCUGCAUCUCCAGCUGAACUCUGACCCCACUGAUCUGGGGGCACUUUGUGCUCGACAGUGACCCUUCAUCUGCGCAGCAGGGUAGAGACAGAUCACAGCUCUGAGACAGCUGA